rnacentral:rRNA from 1 species
GACGAACGCUGGCGGCGUGCUUAACACAUGCAAGUCGAACGGAAAGGCCCUGCUUUUGUGGGGUGCUCGAGUGGCGAACGGGUGAGUAACACGUGAGUAACCUGCCCUUGACUUUGGGAUAACUUCAGGAAACUGGGGCUAAUACCGGAUAGGAGCUCCUGCUGCAUGGUGGGGGUUGGAAAGUUUCGGCGGUUGGGGAUGGACUCGCGGCUUAUCAGCUUGUUGGUGGGGUAGUGGCUUACCAAGGCUUUGACGGGUAGCCGGCCUGAGAGGGUGACCGGCCACAUUGGUACUGAGAUACGGCCCAGACUCCUACGGGAGGCAGCAGUGGGGAAUAUUGCACAAUGGGCGGAAGCCUGAUGCAGCAACGCCGCGUUCGGGAUGACGGCCUUCGGGUUGUAAACCGCUUUCGCCUGUAACGAAGCGUGAGUGACGGUAAUGGGUAAAGAAGCACCGGCUAACUACGUG